AUAAAAAAAUUUCAAAACAUUUUUUUCUCUCUGUUUUCUUUCAAGAAAGACGACCCCUCCCCUCCCAUCUCUCAAAACUCCGGCCAUUUAGGCCUUUUCGGCCUCCGGCGCACCGCCAUCGUGGCCCUAGGCCGACGGCGAGGGAAAAGGGCUACUCAGGUAUAUUUCUUUUCCUUCCCCCUUUUCUUUGUUUUCGUAUAUACAAGAAUAAAAAUAAAAUAACAAUAAUAAGAGAUUGAAAUCUAGAAAAAUAAGAUGAAAUCACCUUGAAACUAGUUUCCCUGUUUUUAUAUUUUUUGAAUCUCUGUUUCAAUCCGUUUCUUGUUACAAAAAGUCCCCUUUUUAUCAAAAAUAAAGAUCGGUUCCCCCCCUUUUACAAACAUAAAGAUCCCCCCUUUAGAUCUGUUUGAAUGGCUUUUAAAUAGCCAUUUUACAAUUUUUCUAUUGUUUCUACUGCUGUUUUGUCCUUCUUUGCUUGCGUGUUUGAAGGUGGAGCAGGUGAGGACGAUGGGACGUGCGCGGCGCAAGUGAGGUGAGUCGGUGGUGGCAGUUGCGGUGGCAAUGUCAGACGGUCCUAGGUGCGCCGCACCUAGGGUUAGGGUUUUUUUUUAUUUGUGUUUUGGGUAAUGGGUUUUGUAAUUGGGUUUGGGUAGGUUUUAAAUUUUUGGGCUUGUUACUUGGUGAGGCCCGGGUGAAUUUGGGCUGUACACAAGCUAUUCCAUAAUUUUUUUCUCAUAAUUUUCUCAAUAUUCAAACCCGAAAUUACAUGUCAUAUCAAAAUUUUCAGGGUGCUACAACUUGACUUCAAU
rnacentral:lncRNA from 1 species